UGAUUUGUUGGACGCUAGCGGCGGAUGGGUGAGUAACACGUGGGCAAUCUGCCCUAAAGACUGGGAUACCACUUGGAAACAGGUGCUAAUACCGGAUAACAACAUGAAUCGCAUGAUUCAAGUUUGAAAGGCGGCGUAAGCUGUCACUUUAGGAUGAGCCCGCGGCGCAUUAGCUAGUUGGUGGGGUAAAGGCCUACCAAGGCAAUGAUGCGUAGCCGAGUUGAGAGACUGAUCGGCCACAUUGGGACUGAGACACGGCCCAAACUCCUACGGGAGGCAGCAGUAGGGAAUCUUCCACAAUGGACGCAAGUCUGAUGGAGCAACGCCGCGUGAGUGAAGAAGGUUUUCGGAUCGUAAAGCUCUGUUGUUGGUGAAGAAGGAUAGAGGCAGUAACUGGUCUUUAUUUGACGGUAAUCAACCAGAAAGUCACGGCUAACUACGUGCCAGCAGCCGCGGUAAUACGUAGGUGGCAAGCGUUGUCCGGAUUUAUUGGGCGUAAAGCGAGCGCAGGCGGAAUGAUAAGUCUGAUGUGAAAGCCCACGGCUCAACCGUGGAACUGCAUCGGAAACUGUCAUUCUUGAGUGCAGAAGAGGAGAGUGGAAUUCCAUGUGUAGCGGUGGAAUGCGUAGAUAUAUGGAAGAACACCAGUGGCGAAGGCGGCUCUCUGGUCUGCAACUGACGCUGAGGCUCGAAAGCAUGGGUAGCGAACAGGAUUAGA
rnacentral:rRNA from 1 species